rnacentral:rRNA from 1 species
GACGAACGCUGGCGGCGUGCCUAAUACAUGCAAGUCGAAAGCAGUGGGGACGGGUGAGUAACACGUUGGUAACCUCCCAUCAGAGGGGAUAACACUUUGAAACAGGUGCUAAACCGAUACUGAUGGAUGGCCCCGCGGUGCAUUCGCUGUUUGGUGAGGUAACGGCUACACAAGUCCAUGAUGCAUAGCCGACCUGAGAGGGUGAUCGGCCACACUGGGACUGAGACACGGCCCAGACUCCUACGGGAGGCAGCAGUAGGGAAUCUUCGGCAAUGGACGAAAGUCUGACCGAGCAACGCCGCGUGAGUGAAGAAGGUUUUCGGAUCGUAAAACUCUGUUGUUAGAGAAGCGGUAUCUAACCAGAAAGCCACGGCUAACUACGUGCCAGCAGCCGCGGUAAUUC